GCGAAAGCAUUUGCCAAAAAUGUUUUCAUUAAUCAAGAACGAAAGUCAGAGGUUCGAAGGCGAUCAGAUACCGCCCUAGUUCUGACCAUAAACGAUGCCAGCUAGCGAUCCGCCGACGUUCCUCCGAUGACUCGGCGGGCAGCUUCCGGGAAACCAAAGCUUUUGGGUUCCGGGGGAAGUAUGGUUGCAAAGCUGAAACUUAAAGGAAUUGACGGAAGGGCACCACCAGGAGUGGAGCCUGCGGCUUAAUUUGACUCAACACGCGAAAACUCACCGGGCCCAGACACCGGAAGGAUUGACAGAUUGAGAGCUCUUUCUUGAUUCGGUGGGUGGUGGUGCAUGGCCGUUCUUAGUUGGUGGAGCGAUUUGUCUGGUUAAUUCCGAUAACGAACGAGACUCUGGCCUGCUAACUAGGCGUUACUUUCCGGCAUUUCGAAGGUUCGAGUCUUCCGUCAACCGGCUUGGUGCGCGCGCGAUAGCGCGUGACGCGCGCGUUCGCGCCCCGUCGCUUCGGCGACGCGCGGUCUCGCGCGGGUCUCCGACCGGACGGGGUCGACUCGGCUUUUACUGCCGACGUACAAAUGAAUCUUCUAAGAGGAACAGGCGGCUCCUAGCCGCACGAGAUUGAGCAAUUACAGGUCUGUGAUGCCCUUAGAUGUUCUGGGCCGCACGCGCGCUACACUCAAGGAAUCAGCGUGUCUUCCCUGGCCGAGCGGCCCGGGUAACCCGCUGAACCUCCUUCGUGUUAGGGAUCGGGGCUUGCAAUUUUUCCCCGUGAACGAGGAAUUCCCAGCUAGCGCGAGUCAUAAGCUCGCGUUGAUUACGUCCCUGCCCUUUGUACACACCGCCCGUCUCUACUACCGAUUGAAUGAUUUAAUGAGGUCUUCAGACCGGCACGCGGCGACGUUUCGAUGUCGCCGAUGUCGCUGGCAAGAUGACCGAACUUGAUCAUUU
rnacentral:rRNA from 1 species